UGUCCCGAAAAAAAAAAAAAAAAAAAAUUCUGUGUCCCGAAAAAAAAGAAAAAAAAAAAAAAAUUCAGAAACCACAAUUCUGACCGAUGGGCGCCAGCAAGCAACCAGCUUCAGAACCACAGACAGACGCGAGUUGUGGCGGACAGCUGACGUUUUGGAGAAAGAUGUCUGAUUUAAGUGACUUUUUACGUGCCAGAGGAGUCCCCGAAGCUUCUAUUGCACUAAUGGAAGAACAAAAGAUUGAUAGAAGAAUUUGCAGAAGACUUGGGCUGUUUAGAAGAAAGAAUCAGUCCGACCUUGAAGAAGUGCUGGCCUUUAUCCAACAACAAAUAAUGACUAAUGGACAAAUGCAAGGUUAUCGGUGGCUACAUCUUCGUGCGGUUCAACAUGGAUUGUGGUGUCACAAGACACUGUGAGACAUUUGAUCAAAUUGUUUGACCCAGAAGGUGUGGAACUGAGACGAGCACGACGGUUGAGAAGACGUCAGUACAAUUGCAGAGGACCAAAUGCACUCUGGCUACGAUAAACUAAAACCUUAUGGCAUUGCUAUCAGUGGCUGUAUAGAUGGUUUUAGCCGACAUGUUUUAUGGAUGGAGGCUUAUACCACGAACAAUGACCCCAAAUUGAUUGCAAGUUACUAUUUGAAAACAGUUUCAUGCGUCAACGGAUGUUCAGAGAGGAUACGUGCCGACAGAGGCACAGAAAACAUUUGUGUUGAACAAAUGCAGAUAUUUCUGCGGCAAAACCACACAGACAGUUUUGCAGGGGACAAAAGUUUCCUUUACGGAAGAAGUACAUCCAACCAGCGCAUAGAAGGCUGGUGGUCGACCCUCGGCAAACAGUGCACAGUUUUGGAUGAACUUAUUUCAAACCUUUCUGGAUGAUGGUCACUUUACAGGAGACUUUUUGGAUAAAAGCCUCAUCCAAUUCUGCUUUCUUAAUCUUAUUCAGGUAGAAGUGUUCACUGGUUCACUGUAAUGUUUUUGUUUUAAAAAGUAUUAAAAGCAAAUCUGCUGGUAUGUUUACUAGAAAUAAUAAAAGCUCUUCAAAGUAUUUAGCCACUUUCAGUGCGCAUGAAGAUAAUUUAAAAAGUGUUGCUGUUUAUCUCGAUCAUGCCAUUUGAUAGUUUUUGCAGUGUCUGAUAGGUGCCCUCUAAACAGGACUUCCUGCACUGCAUUUAAUUAAAGACAUAUUGUGUACAAGCAAACAUAACAUUUUUGACAUCAUUCUGCUAGAACAUGAAAGUUUAUUGCUGUCAUAAUUUUAUUGUAGAGUUCUGAUUUGACCUGACAUUAGUCUUCAAGCUGUUACUGUGCUGAUAAAAGUAAAACAUACAGUUUUGUUGACAUGUUUUCAUUUCCCAAUCCAUAGUUUGUUUUGCUUUCACACUGUCAUUUGAAGAAACAACGCUGAUGCAAAGUUAAUUAUUGUUCUAUGAUAAUCAGUUAUGUACCAAAUAUCAAUCCUUUUAAAUGGGUAUGCAUUAUGAUUAAUGAAAAAUAUAUAUUUUUUUCAAACACAAUGCUGUUCUGUUAAACUAAAGAUAUUGACAAUGUAUGGUUGAGAUGUAAACAAAAUGGCAGUACAGCAAGAAUUACGUCAUAAAUUGAACACAUGAAAACCA